rnacentral:lncRNA from 1 species
GCCAGCACCCCAAGGCUGGACCCCCCCCCACCUCGGGGACACCACGAGGGACGCGAACGCCCCCAAGGUCCCCACCAGCACUCGCCUUCCCCGCCCAGCAUCCACCCGUGCCAAAACCCCGACCCCAGGCAGGAGAAGCCCCCGGCCCCAGCUCCACCACCGGCCCCCAGCCACAGCCCGGAGCCCCCCGGGGACCCCCCCCCAGCCGCCGCCGCCGCCCUACCUCCGCCUGCCGCCGCCGCCCGCCGCCCGCCGCCGCCCUCACGGCCGCCAGCAGCCCCAGCGCCAGCGCUGCCCUCAGCACCGCGGCCAUGCCCGUGGCCGUGCUCCUGCUCCUGCCCGUGCCCGUGCCCGCGGCCGUGCCGCCGCCGCCGCCUCUCCCCCGGUGCCGGUCCCGGCUCCGCUUCUCCACGGCCCGGCCCCGGGGGCGGCCCCGGCCCGCCCCGCCCGCAGGGCCGGGCUCCCUCCGCACCCCCGCCUACCUCCCCGGGGUCCCCCCGUCCCCGUCCCCUGAGUUCCCCCCGUGUCUCCUUCACCCCUCCCGCGAUCACCGGAGCCGCGGGGCCCGAAGAGAGACCCCCCCGGGGCCCCCCUCACGCCUCAGGGCGUGGGGCUGAGGGGGCGGCCGGGCCCCGGAGCACAAGGCUGAGGGGGGCAAUCUGUCACCGCCUCGAUGUUAUAAAUCAGGGGUCGUGCUUGGCUGGGGGGCACCGGGGGGCUCUAACGGCACCUCUAAGGCACUGGCCCUGCGCCCCCCUCGCAGCGAUGCCCCUUUUUUCCCUUCACACCCCCCGGCUUGGCUCCCCUUUGGUCAGGGCAGGGGGCGGCUGUGCCAGCGGGACCCACUCCCAUGGGGGUCUGCAGCCCCGUCACCACGCUGUGCCACAGGGUGUAGGGCCGGGAGAGCUGCCCCAGGGGCUCACCCCACACCCAGCUCUCUCCACCACCCCCCCAAGGUCAGAUCCUUCUCCUCGGCCUCCCCGGCGCAGAACAGGACACACACGGGUGCCACCAGUGCCGGCCAAAGCAACCCUGCGGCCCCAAGCUGCACGAAAUGGCGGCCGGGCCCUAGCACCCGACCUGGGCACAGCCCGAGGAGCCGCGGGCUCUGCUCCUCUCGUCUGGGCUCCCCCACAGCCACCCACAGCCUUUAGGGAUUCUCCUCUGGAGCCCGGCGGCUCCCAGCGACGACAAGUUAACAGCUCUGUUUACUCCCCGCAGUAUUUUGUUUGA